rnacentral:rRNA from 1 species
AUUGAACGCUGGCGGCAUACCUUACACAUGCAAAUCGAACGGUAACAGGUCUUCGGAUGCUGACGAGUGGCGAACGGGUGAGUAAUACAUCGGAACGUGCCUAGUAGUGGGGGAUAACUACUCGAAAGAGUGGCUAAUACCGCAUGAGAUCUACGGAUGAAAGCAGGGGAUCGCAAGACCUUGUGCUACUAGAGCGGCCGAUGGCAGAUUAGGUAGUUGGUGGGAUAAAAGCUUACCAAGCCGACGAUCUGUAGCUGGUCUGAGAGGACGAUCAGCCACACGGGGACUGAGACACGGCCCAGACUCCUACGGGAGGCAGCAGUGGGGAAUUUUGGACAAUGGGCGAAAGCCUGAUCCAGCAAUGCCGCGUGCAGGAUGAAGGCCUUCGGGUUGUAAACUGCUUUUGUACGGAACGAAAAGCCCCGGGUUAAUACCCUGGGGUCAUGACGGUACCGUAAGAAUAAGCACCGGCUAACUACGUGCCAGCCGCCGCGGUAA